rnacentral:rRNA from 1 species
GACGUAGGGCGCGAGCGUUGUCCGGAUUUAUUGGGCGUAAAGGGCGCGUAGGCGGCCGGCCAAGUCGGGUGUGAAAUCCCUCGGCUCAACCGAGGAACUGCACUCGAUACUGGUUGGCUCGAGUCCGGGAGGGGAUGGUGGAAUUCCCAGUGUAGCGGUGAAAUGCGUAGAUAUUGGGAAGAACACCGGUGGCGAAGGCGGCCAUCUGGACCGGAACUGACGCUGAGGCGCGAAAGCCAGGGGAGCGAAUGGG